rnacentral:misc_RNA from 1 species
CUUGUCCAUCUUAGGGAAGAAAGUUGGUAGGAUUGCUGCACUCUUAAAGCCAGAAGAGGCAAUAGAGCAAUUGGACAUAAGAACAAUUGCUGCAUCACCUCUAGAGUAUGAUGUGAAGCGGGAGGAUGUGGAAUCAUUUUUAGGAAAAUAUGUCAAGGUGUCAAGUGUGAGGAUGCCUCGUCACGUGGCAGACAAAAGGGUAUUUUGUGGCACUGCAUUGGUUGAGUUCUCAAUAGAGGAAGAUGCUGAAAAUGUUUUGAAGC